rfam:Ammonifex degensii KC4, complete genome.
AGGACGGCAUCCGUGCAAGUUUCCGGAGCCGUACCGGAAAUAAAGCUCGAUUUGGUUUAAAACCAUAAGAAAUUUUAAGGCCGCUUGGAUCCGCUCAGGACCGAGACGGACGG